AGAGUUUGAUCCUGGCUCAGAUUGAACGCUGGCGGCAUGCUUUACACAUGCAAGUCGAACGCGAAAGGGGGCAACCCUGAGUAGAGUGGCGCACGGGUGAGUAAUGCAUCGGAACGUGUCCUGUAAUGGGGGAUAACUUAGCGAAAGCUAAGCUAAUACCGCAUACGUCCUACGGGAGAAAGUGGGGGAUCGUAAGACCU
rnacentral:rRNA from 1 species